UACGUAGGGGCCAAGCGUUGUCCGGAUUUAUUGGGCGUAAAGAGCUCGUAGGCGGCUCGGUAAGUCAGGUGUGAAAACUCUAGGCUCAACCUAGAGACGCCACCUGAUACUGCCGUGGCUAGAGUCCGGUAGGGGAGCAUGGAAUUCCUGGUGUAGCGGUGAAAUGCGCAGAUAUCAGGAGGAACACCAGUGGCGAAGGCGGUGCUCUGGGCCGGAACUGACGCUGAGGAGCGAAAGCGUGGGGAGCAAACAGG
rnacentral:rRNA from 1 species